UAGCGAAAUUCCUUGUCGGGUAAGUUCCGACCCGCACGAAAGGCGUAAUGAUUUGGGCACUGUCUCAACGAGAGACUCGGUGAAAUUUUAGUACCUGUGAAGAUGCAGGUUACCCGCGACAGGACGGAAAGACCCCAUGGAGCUUUACUGUAGCUUGAUAUUGAAUUUUGAUGCAGUAUGUACAGGAUAGGUAGGAGCCAGAGAAUCAUGCACGCCAGUGUAUGAGGAGGCGUUGUUGGGAUACUACCCUUGCUGUAUUGAAAUUCUAACCCUCGGCGUAGAAGACCGGGAGACAGUGUCAGGUGGGCAGUUUGACUGGGGCGGUCGCCUCCCAAAGAGUAACGGAGGCGUUCAAAGGUUCCCUCAGAAUGGUUGGAAAUCAUUUGCAGAGUGUAAAGGCACAAGGGAGCUUGACUGUGAGACCUACAAGUCGAGCAGGUGCGAAAGCAGGACUUAGUGAUCCGGUGGUUCCGCAUGGAAGGGCCAUCGCUCAACGGAUAAAAGCUACCCUGGGGAUAACAGGCUUAUCUCCCCCAAGAGUUCACAUCGACGGGGAGGUUUGGCACCUCGAUGUCGGCUCAUCGCAUCCUGGGGCUGUAGUCGGUCCCAAGGGUUGGGCUGUUCGCCCAUUAAAGCGGUACGCGAGCUGGGUUCAGAACGUCGUGAGACAGUUCGGUCCCUAUCCGUCGUGGGCGUAGGAAAUUUGAGAGGAGCUGUCCUUAGUACGAGAGGACCGGGAUGGACGUAUCAAUGGUGUACCAGUUGUCACGCCAGUGGCAUAGCUGGGUAGCUAAAUACGGAAGGGAUAAGAGCUGAAAGCAUCUAAGCAUGAAGCCCCCCUCGAGAUGAGAUUUCCCACGGAUAUUAAGACCCCUUGAAGACGACAAGGAGAAUAGGUUAGGAGUGUAAGCACGGUAACGUGUUCAGCUGACUAAUACUAAUAGGUCGAGGACUUAAUCAA
rnacentral:rRNA from 1 species